AAAUUCCAAUUGUGCGCCCAGCUAAACGUAGACAGCGAGAAAGUAGGGUUGAAAUGCUAUUGAGCCUCCAAAUUUUGUAUAUCAGUGGGCUGACGUCUUAAUUGGUGCGGAAAGCAACAUCACGUAGGUCGUAAUGGCAAGAACUAUGUGGCACUGCGGGGUCAAAGGGCC
rfam:Clostridium acidisoli DSM 12555 genome assembly, contig: EJ29DRAFT_scaffold00002.2